rnacentral:rRNA from 1 species
CCUACGGGAGGCAGCAGUGGGGAAUAUUGGGCAAUGGGGGCAACCCUGAUCCAGCCAUGCCGCGUGUGUGAAGAAGGCCCUCGGGUUGUAAAGCACUUUCAGUGAGGAAGAACGCCUGGUGGUUAAUACCCAUCAGGAAAGACAUCACUCACAGAAGAAGCACCGGCUAACUCCGUGCCAGCAGCCGCGGUAAUACGGAGGGUGCGAGCGUUAAUCGGAAUUACUGGGCGUAAAGCGCGCGUAGGUGGCUUGAUAAGCCGGUUGUGAAAGCCCCGGGCUCAACCUGGGAACGGCAUCCGGAACUGUCAAGCUAGAGUGCAGGAGAGGAAGGUAGAAUUCCCGGUGUAGCGGUGAAAUGCGUAGAGAUCGGGAGGAAUACCAGUGGCGAAGGCGGCCUUCUGGACUGACACUGACACUGAGGUGCGAAAGCGUGGGUAGCAAACAGGAUUAGAUACCCUUGUAGUC